GAUGCAGCAACGCCGCGUGCGGGAUGACGGCCUUCGGGUUGUAAACCGCUUUCACCCAUGACGAAGCGCGAGUGACGGUAGUGGGGGAAGAAGCACCGGCCAACUACGUGCCAGCAGCCGCGGUGAUACGUAGGGUGCGAGCGUUGUCCGGAAUUAUUGGGCGUAAAGAGCUUGUAGGCGGUUGAUCGCGUCGAUAGUGAAAUCCCGGGACUCAACCUCGGGCUUACUGUCGAUACGGGUUGACUUGAGGAAGGUAGGGGAGAAUGGAACUCCCGGUGGAGCGGUGGAAUGCGCAGAUAUCGGGAAGAACACCGGUGGCGAAGGCGGUUCUCUGGACCUUUCCUGACGCUGAGAAGCGAAAGCGUGGGGAGCAAACAGGCUUAGAUACCCUGGUAGUCCACGCUGUAAACGGUGGGUACUAGGUGUGGGUCGCAUUCCACGUGAUCCGUGCCGUAGCCAACGCAUUAAGUACCCCGCCUGGGGGGUACGGCCGCAAGGCUAAAACUCAAAGGAAUUGACGGGGCCCCGCACAAGCGGCGGAGCAUGCGGAUUAUUCAUGCACCGAAAACUUACCUGGGUUGACAUGUACUGGA
rnacentral:rRNA from 1 species